UCGCGAAAACUUUGCAAUACACGCAAGUGUGACAGGGCUAUCCCGAGUGCCAUCCGCUGAGGAAGGCUUUUACCCAGUCUAGAACGCUGGGGGAAUAAGGAGAGGGCAAGUCUGGUGUCAGCCGCCGCGGUAAUACCAGCUCUCCGAGUGGUGUGGAUGUUUAUUGGGCCUAAAGCAUCCGUAGCUGGCUAAGUUAGUCCCUUGUUAAAUCCACCGAAUUAAUCGUUGGAUUGCGGGGGAUACUGCUUGGCUAGGGGACGAGAGAGGCAGACGGUAUUUUUGGGGUAGGGGUGAAAUCCUAUAAUCCCAGGAAGACCACCAGUGGCGAAGGCUGUCUGCUAGAACGCGCCCGACGGUGAGGGAUGAAAGCUGGGGGAGCGAACCGGAUUAGAUACCCGGGUAGUCCCAGCUGUAAACGAUGCAGGCUAGGUGUUUGGACGGCCACGUGCCGUUCUAGUGCCGCAGGGAAGCUGUUAAGCCUGCCGCCUGGGGAUACGAUCGCAAGAUUGAAACUUAAGGAAUUGGC
rnacentral:rRNA from 1 species